rnacentral:rRNA from 1 species
CCCAAAGCGUAACGGAGGAGCACGAAGGUUAGCUAAUCCUGGUCGGACAUCAGGAGGUUAGUGCAAUGGCAUAAGCUAGCUUGACUGCGAGCGUGACGGCGCGAGCAGGUGCGAAAGCAGGUCAUAGUGAUCCGGUGGUUCUGAAUGGAAGGGCCAUCGCUCAACGGAUAAAAGGUACUCCGGGGAUAACAGGCUGAUACCGCCCAAGAGUUCAUAUCGACGGCGGUGUUUGGCACCUCGAUGUCGGCUCAUCACAUCCUGGGGCUGAAGUAGGUCCCAAGGGUAUGGCUGUUCGCCAUUUAAAGUGGUACGCGAGCUGGGUUUAGAACGUCGUGAGACAGUUCGGUCCCUAUCUGCCGUGGGCGCUGGAGAAUUGAGGGGGGCUGCUCCUAGUACGAGAGGACCGGAGUGGACGCAUCACUGGUGUUCGGGUUGUCAUGCCAAUGGCACUGCCCGGUAGCUAAAUGCGGAAGAGAUAAGUGCUGAAAGCAUCUAAGCACGAAACUUGCCCCGAGAUGAGUUCUCCCUGAGACUUUAAGUCUCCUGAAGGAACGUUAAAGACGAUGACGUUGAUAGGCCGGGUGUGUAAGCGCAGCGAUGCGUUGAGCUAACCGGUACUAAUGAACCGUGAGGCUUAACCUU